ACAAUUAUGGAUUCAGAUAAACUGGGAGUGGUGCAUGCCUUUGUAUUGUGUUCCUGAACCUUGCUUUCUCCAUGUCAGGUCUUCUGUUCUUAGAAAAAACUCUUUUGUUGCAUCCACAUUAACCAUAUAUAUUUCUAUUUCCAUUUUUGAAUUGUAAUAUGUAGCUCAGUUUGGUGUGUCAAUUUCAGCUAGACUAAAUCAACCAUUCGGUCCUUCGUAAGUCGACUUUUCGUGCGUGUGUGUGUGUGUGUGUGUGUGUAGGAGGUUUAGCAGGCCUGACUUAAGACCGAACCCUGACGGUGUUUAGGCAUGGUCCGGUAUGCACUUCUUCACUUCUCUUGAUUUAUGUUUUUGUUUCAGUUCAUAUUAAAUCAAUAGUGUUUGCAACUUUACAUACAGGUUGGAGAGCUUAUUUCCAGCGUUGGAGGUCUUUUCAGUUUUUCUAAAGGUACUAUUUUUGUCCAAUUCCCCAAACACUUUCCUCAUGUUUACUGAAGUGUUACCUAGCAAAAUUGUAUCAUUGAUCCAACACAAUGAUUAGAAUCCCAGUCGUUGAAUUACAGUAGACAAGACCAUAUUUCACAUUUUGUAUAGCCCAACCAAUAAUACAUAUGGACCGUGGUGAUGAUUUUCAAUAUAUUGUGUGCAAUAGUUAAAUAGAUGUAUUCGUGCCAUUUAUCUCAUUGAACUGUAAGAGCUGGUCAUGGUGGAAGAGUAAUCAGUGUUGUGUAGACAACAUCACUGUAAUUUUCUCAGCCAAAUAAAAGAUUAGCUUGCGGUCCAUGGAAAAACCCCAACAUUCAGUUGAGCUGUACAUCUUUUGCCGCCCCUUCUAUUGGUUCUGGUUGAGCUUUGUGUGUUAAUAUUUAUUUGACUGCAUUUUAUCCUUUAGUCCUUCCUCUUAGUGUAUAGUGAUCCCUUAUUGUGUUAGUUUCUUAACUAGAAGGGUAGUUUUGAUUCAGACCAUUCCAUAAUAAAAUGUGUAUAUAGCCUGAAGGUAGGAUUUCAGCUUCAGACUGUUAAAAUACGUCUAACGUGUCAUGUACACGUAUUAUGUAUGUAUGUAACUUGUAUGCUGAUCAUAUAUAUAUAGAAGGACGUGGAGAGGCAUUGCCCCACGAAAAACCCUAAACCUAUUCUCAAACUUGGUAUCAGAGCCUACCUAGCCGCCGCCGCCUCUCCUCCCUCCGCCGCCGCUAGCCUCUCAUCGCGGCCGCCGCGAUGUCCAAGUCGCCCGCCACCGAUCAGUCCUCCUCAUCGGGCGCUGCGAUGACCGCGUCCUCCGCCCUCGCCCUCACCGUGUCCGCCCCCGUUAUCGCGCCACCAUCGGCAUCGGCUCCCGCUCCUGUCCUUCCACCCAUCGCGGUCUCUCUCGACCGCAGUAACUUCAUGCUGUGGAGGGCUCUCGCCCUCCCCAACUUCGCCGGCGUACGCCUCCACGGGUUCCUCGAUGGCUCGGCCAAGGCGCCGGAGCCGACCGUGACGACAGGCACCGGUGACACGGCUCGUACCAUCACCAACCCUGAAUACGAGCAGUGGUGGACUCUUGAUCAAAAGGUCCUCGGGCAUCUCCUCGGCUCCAUGAGCGUGGAGAUAUCCGCGCAGCUGAUCGGCUGCAGGACGGCGGCUGCUGCAUGGGCUGCCGUGCACACCAUGUUCGCCGCCGAGAACAGCGCCGGCGUGCGCAACCUUCGGCGCCAGAUCCAGGCGCUACGCAAAGGAGAUAGACCUGCCGGCGAGUACAUGCAGAAGGUUAAAUCUCUCGCCGACUCGAUGGACGCCGCCGGUUCUCCUCUUCACGAUGACGAGAUCAUCGACUACAUGCUGACCGGGCUCGGCUCAGCGUUCAACCCCAUCGCUGCUUCGAUGAACUUCGCCGGCGUGCAAGUCACGUUUCUGGCGUUCUACUCCAGCGUCCUCCACUACGAGGCCCUCCAGCAGCAGCAAUCGGAAGUUGAGGACUGGCAGUCCUCCGCAAACGCCGCCUCCCGGCCGGCCUACCACGAUCACGCCGGUCGUGUGCCCGAUUCCGGACGCCCAAGUGGCGGCCGCUCCUCCGCCGCCUCUCUUCCGCCUGGAUCGGCAAGCUACGGCCCCGCCCAGGGCGGUGCCCCUGGCCAUAACAACGGCAACACCGGCGGCAACGGCCGCAAUGGAGGAGGCAAUGGGGGUGGCCGCCGUCGCUGGCGCCCUAGGUGCCCGAUAUGUAAGAACUGACCGCGACGGACUGUCGCAUGAGGCGACGGACUGUCGCGGCCGCUAUGACCGCGACCACCGCGCCUCCAACUCCGCCUCCACGCAUGAACCGCCGCACUGGAUCCUGGACACCGGUGCGACGGAUCACCUGACGAGUGAUCUUGACCGUCUUCACUUCCAUGAGCGCUACGGCGGGAAGGAUCAAGUGCAAGUGGUGAAUGGUGCAGGUUUGUCUAUUUCGCAUAUUGGUCAUUCCACUAUACCCGGUUCAUCUCUGCGUUUACGCAAUAUUCUUCGUCUUCCACAUAUACAUCAACAACUAUUGUCCGUUUAUCGACUUGUUCUUGAUAAUGAUGUUUUUGUAGAAUUUCACCGUUUCUUUUUCCUUGUUAAGGACAUAGCCACGAAGAAAAUUCUUCUUCGCGGUAGAAGUCGUGGCGGCCUCUACCCCAUCCCGUUUGGUCGCGCGUCGUCCUCCUCCACUCGCCAAGCGUCUCUCAGUGUCAAGACCACUUCGUCCCAGUGGCAUCAGCGUCUCGGUCAUCCCUCCAAUAAAAUUGUUCAAUACAUUGUUAAGAGCAAUGAUUUAGUGUGUUCUUCUGAACGUCAUUUUUCAGUGUGUGAUGGUUGUCAGCAUGCUAAGAGUCGACAAUUACCAUAUACUUUAUCCACUCAUGUUUCUACUAUGCCUCUUGAGUUAAUUCAUUCUGAUGUUUGGGGGCCUGCUCUUGCCUCUUCCGGAGGCUAUAAGUAUUAUGUGAGCUUUGUCGAUGAUUAUUCCUGUUUCACUUGGAUAUAUCUUCUUAAGCACAAGUCUGACGUUGAGCAAGUAUUUUAUGCUUUUCAGGCUCAUGUUGAGCGUCUUCUCCGCACUAAAAUCAUAUCCGUUCAGUCAGACUGGGGUGGUGAGUACCACAAAUUACAUCGCUAUUUCCAACGCACUAGGAUCUCUCAUCGUGUGUCCUGCCCACACACCUCUCAGCAAAACGGGAUUGCUGAACGCAAACACCGUCAUCUUGUGGAAAUAGGUCUGGCCUUAUUGGCUCAUUUGUCUCUCCCUUUACGGUAUUGGGACGAAGCUUUCCUUGCUGCAUGUUACUUGAUUAAUCGCAUGCCUACACCUGUUCUCCAACAAGAUACACCCGUGUACCGCCUUCUUAAAGUCAAACCCGAUUACACCUUUCUCCGCACCUUUGGGUGCGCCUGCUGGCCUAGCUUGCGCAAAUAUAACACUCACAAACUUGUUUUCCGGUCCACUAUGUGUGUGUUCUUAGGUUAUAGCCAGCUGCAUAAGGGGUACAAAUGUCUCGACCGCUCCACGGGUCGUAUCUACAUCUCCCGUGAUGUUGUGUUUGAUGAGUCUGUGUUUCCAUAUGCCACACCUAGGGUCACCGUCGAUAUAUCCUCCUUGGCUGAUGGUCUCUCGUUUCCUUUCAAUGAGCCGGUUACGGGUGACCAUAUGCGUAAAUACGACUUAUCCUACCUGUCUACUGAUCCGCCUGUUCCAGGCCAUAUUGCUUCUGUGCAGGCAUACCAUGACGCCGCUCCUCCCUCCUCGGCGAUCGACGUGCAUGGCGCAUGCACGUCGCCCGGCUCGUCGGCUGCCUCGUCGCCCGGCCCAUCUUCCGCGACGCCCCCGCCCUCUGCAGGCCGCUCGGCUGGUCAGCCCGCUGCGGACGCGCCGACCUCCCCGGUGAUCGACGUGCAUGGCACAUGCACGUCCCCAGCCCAGCGAUCGCGCUGGCCUCCCCUGGCCCAUCAUCAGCGCCAGCGCCGGCCACUUCAUCGCCUGUUGCCACGUCGUUCUCAAUGCAGGAGGCUGCUGCUCCCUCCUCGCCGUCCGAUCAGCUCGCGUCGCCUUCUGUUGAGGGCAGCCCUGUCCCCUCAACCGCGAUGCCUCCAGCUGCUCCAGGCCACACCAUGGUCACGCGCACUCGCGAUCAUACUCGUCGUGCGCUUGUUCCCACUGAUGGAACUGUCCGCUACGACCCUCGCCGCCGUGCUUUUCAUGCUAUGCCCGUCUCUCAUCGCGAUGCCCUCCGUGAGCAUGCUUGGCGCACCGCCAUGAUGGAUGAGCUGGACGCUCUGCGUCGCAACAGGACUUGGGUUCUUGUGCCUCGUCCGCGUGAUGUUAAUGUCGUUGGGAGCAAGUGGAUUUUCAAGACCAAGCAUCAUCUGGAUGGCUCCAUUGACAAGCAUAAAGCUCGUCUGGUCGCGCGUGGUUUCACCCAACGGCUUGGCAUUGACUAUGGUGAUACGUUCAGUCCGGUUGUCAAGCUAGCCACCGUUCGCCUGGUUCUUGCUCUAGCUGUGUCUCGCGGAUGGAUUCUUCGUCAGAUUGAUGUCAGCAACACUUUCCUUCAUGGUUACUUGUUUGAGGAUGUCUACAUGCAGCAGCCACCAGGCUUUGAGGACGCUCGGUAUCCCUCUCAUGUGUGCAAGUUGCAGCGGGCUCUCUAUGGACUCAAACAGUCCCCUCGCGCAUGGUAUGCUCGGCUCAGUUCUCGUCUUCUCCAGUUGGGGUUUGUUCCCUCUCGCGCCAACGCCUCUCUAUUUUUCUUCCGCCAUCAGGAUGUUCAGAUAUACAUGCUUGUCUACGUGGAUGAUAUUGUUAUUGCUGGCUCUUCUCCACGUGCAGUUGACGGUCUUGUUCAUUCACUUGCGGCCACCUUUCCUAUUAAGGACCUUGGGCCGUUGGAGUACUUUCUUGGCUUGGAAGCGUCGUACAAUUCAGGGGGUAUGACCUUGACACAACGGAAGUAUGCCUUGGAUCUUUUACACCGUGUGAACAUGGAGAAUUGUAAGUCCACUUCCAUACCGUUGUCUACCUCCGACCAGCUUGCACGGGUGUCUGGACAGCCUCUCGAUGCCGAUGAUUCUUUCCGGUAUCGCAGUGUCGUUGGUGGAUUGCAGUAUUUGACUCUCACUCGCCCAGACAUUUCAUUUGCAGUGAACAAGGUAUGCCAGUUUCUCUCACAGCCCACUGAUGUUCAUUGGGAAGCUGUUAAGCGCAUCCUGCGCUAUGUAAAGGGAACAUUGCAAACUGGACUGAAGUUUCGGAAGGCUGUCUCCAACAACAUUAGUAUUUUCACUAACGCAGACUGGGCCAGGUGUCCUGAUGAUCGACGAUCCACUGGAGGCUUUGCCAUCUUUGUUGGCCCAAAUCUCAUCUCCUGGAGCUCUAAGAAGCAACCGACGGUUUCGAGAUCUAGUACGGAGGCUGAGUACAAGGCUCUGGCAAAUGGAGCUGCUGAGGCCAUUUGGGUAGAAUCACUACUCAAGGAGCUUGGUGGUUCCCAGCAGCGUGUUCCUGUUCUAUGGUGUGAUAAUUUAGGAGCCACAUAUCUGACUGCCAACCCAGUUUUUCAUGCACGCACCAAGCACAUUGAGAUUGAUUUCCACUUUGUGCGUGAGCGUGUUGCUUCUGGAGCUCUUGAUGUCAGGUUCAUUUCUUCUAAUGAUCAACUGGCUGACGUGUUUACCAAACCAGCCACUCGACAGAUGCUAGACCGUUUUAGUACCAAUCUAAACCUUGUACAGAGUAGAAGUUCAGAUUGAGGGGGUAUGUUAAAAUAGGUCUAGCGUGUCAUGUACACGUAUUAUGUACAUAUGUAACUUGUAUGCUGAUCAUAUAUAUAUAGAAGGACGUGGAGAGGCAUUGCCCCACGGAAAACCCUAAACCUAUUCUCAAACUCAGACUGUCAUUAAGUUUGCGUCAAAUUUAUUGUUUCAUUUUGGAACAGUGUACUUUCAUGAGUAUUUUUCUAACGAGUACAUAUAAUACUUGAACAGAUAAUCUUACAAAAUGGAAGUACCGAGGAAUUAAUAUAUAGAAGUUACGACCGUUGUUUAGGGUGAUCUCUGAAGAUGGAUUGCAG
rnacentral:lncRNA from 1 species